rnacentral:lncRNA from 1 species
UUUUUGCCAUUUCUUGGGCCACUCCUGUGGCAUAUGGAGGUUCCCAGGCUAGGGGUCGAAUCAGAGCUGUAGCUGCCAGCCUACGCCAGAGCCACAGCAACACGGGAUCCGAGCCACGUCUGCAACCUACACCACAGCUCACGGCAACGCCGGAUUGUUAACCCACUGAGCAAGGGUAGGGAUCGAACCUGCAACCUCAUGGUUCCUAGUCGGAUUUGUUAACCACUGCGCCACGAUGGGAACUCCUGCAUCUAUUAAUCUCAAAGUCCCUUGGCCACCACAAGUCUGUUCUCUAUAUCUGUGAGUCUGCUUCUGUUUUUUAGGUAGGUUAAUUUGUGUAAUAUUUCAAAUUCCAUUAUAAGUGAUAUCACAUGGUAUUUGUCUUCUCUUGCUGACUUAUUUCACUUAGUAUGAGAAUCUCUAGUUGCAUCCGUGUUUCUGCAAAUGGCAUUAUUUUGUUCUUUUUUAUGGCUGAGUAGUAUUCCAUUGUGUAUAUGUACUUUGCAUUGUGUAUAUGUACUACAUCUUCUUAAUCCAUUCAUCUGUGGAUGGACAUUUAGGUUAUUUCUAUGUCUUGGCUAUUGUGAAUAGUGCUGCAAUGAAUAUAGGAGUACAUGUGUCUUUUUGAAUGAAAGUUUUGCCUGGAUAUAUGCCUAAGAGUGAGAUUGCUGGAUCAUAUGUGAGUUCUAUAUUUAGUUUUCUGAGGAUCUCUGUAUUGUUUUCCAUAGUGGUUGUAUCAAAUUACAUUCCCACCAACAGAGUAGGAGGGUUCCCUUUUCUCCACACCCACCCUCUCCAGCUUUUAUUUGUAGACUUAUUAAUGAUGGCCUAUCUGACCAGUGUGAGGUGGUGCCUCAUUAUGGUUUUGAUUUGCAUUUUUCUAACAAUUGGUGGUAUUGAACAUCUUUUCAUGUGCCUAUUGGCUACUUGUAUGUCUUCUUUGGAAAAAAAGUCUAAUUUAGGUCUUCUGCCCAUUUUUCAAUUAAGUUUUUUUUUGUUAUUAUUGAGUUGUAUGAGUUGUUUCUAUAUUUUGGAAAUUAAACCUGUGUCAGUUGGAUUUUUCUCCCAUUCUGUGGGUUGUCUUCAUUUUUUAAGGGAGGUGGAUCAAACAAGAUAUUAAUGUGAUAUAUGUCGAAAGAGUAUUCUGACUGUUUUCCUCUGGGAGUUUUAUAGUAUCUAGCCUUAAGUUUAGGUCUUUAAUCUAGGUUGAAUGCGUUUUUGUUUAUGGUGUUAGAGAAUGUUCUAAUUUCUUUUACAUGUAGCUGUCCAGUUUUCCCAGCAUCACUUAAUGAAGAAACUGUUUCCAACACUGUAUGUUCUUGCCUCCUUUGUCAUAGAUUAGUUACACAGUUUCAAAAGUAUAUUUUUGGGGGUCAGCCACCCUGUGAACAUUGAGGAACUUAUGGCAUUUUCUUGAUAUUAAGUGUUUUAAAGGAAGGAGGUUCCCCUUGCCUUUUCCUAAUUACUGACCUUUAGUGUGUUCUUUGAAGAAUGGAACCAAGCUGUCCUUUACUUUUUGUUCUUUGAGUCUCAUAUGCUUAUUAUGAUUGUGACAGAGUUUAAUUUCUUCUAAGUCCUCUAACACGACAAAACAAGUGAAGAGAAGCCAAAAACCAGAGAAGAACAUCUUUCAUCUCCUUCUUAAUACAUACAAAAUUAUGGAGAUUAAUUUAGAAGCCUGAUGAGGAAUUCAAUAGAAGAGGAUAUUUAAAUAGGAAAAAAGUAUAACACUAAAAAUAACUACUGCUUAUUGAGAAUUUGCUAUGUGUCUAGCACCAUGCUAAAUGCCUUUCAGACAACACUUCAAUUAAUCCUAACCACAACUCUUUUUAAUGCUUUAUGAAAGAAAAGUGAUUAUCUGGCACAUAUUAACACAAAUGAAUCACACAUUCAGAUGAUUUAACUACAUUUAAGGCAGUUGUUGAAUACCUCUGUGUUAGAUGCCAAGGCUAGAAAAAGAAUCUGCUACGGUCCUCUGGUUCUUGAGAAAAAAUUAUCACGAAGAAAAAUAAAUUUGUCAGUUGACUUUAGGCAUAUCUAUUUCAGCAUACGCAAGGAACAAAAGCAGACCUGGAAAAAGCUGAAAUCUUUUCAGCUACCACCCUACCCAUUCUGCCACGCCACACUGGCUGCCAGUUCUGCACCUAACUCACCCCAUCUUUCCUCCUAGUGGAAUUCCUCUCCAUCCUCUAACUCUCUGCUUCACGGUGUCUUCAUCGACCAUGUCUAGUCUGAGUCCUAUUCUAUUAGAGUGCUUUUAUCUACCAUUACCUGUGACAGUGAACUAAUUGGAUAGACUAAUCCUUACUUUUGUGUUAAUAAGAAACAAUAGCUUAUAAGAUAUUCCUCCCAGGGAACAGGUAACUUUCUUACUGACCUCCUCUUGCAAUAAAGUGUCAAAGUAUUUCUAGGAACUGAGAAAAGUUGAUAGAACAAUUUAGGGGCAGAGUAAAAAAGGGUACUUAGUCUGCUUCAGACUAUACUCACUUGAAAAUCAUUCACUUGAUAAAUUGUCGUUCCUUAACAAGUUAGCGUUUUUUCUAUAUAAGGCUAGUUGCUGGAGGUACACUGAUGAAUAAGACAGCAUAGCUCUCAUGCAGGCUCCACUUAGGUCUGUAACAUGGUCUAGGAUCUGUAAAGUGCUCAGGGGUGAGAGAGAGACCCUGUGCUCCCGAAGUUUGCAGGCUUGAAUGCCAUAACUAAGAUAUUUUGAUGGUACUUUUCCAUCUUUAUUUAAAAAUUUGUCAUAUGUGGGAUAAACACUGGCCUCUACUUGCUCUUUAACAAAGCAUGCUAAAGGCUGAUGAAAGAGAUCACCCAAAUAUGCUUUAGGUUACAUAUCUCUCUGUUAGGAAUAUAAAUCUAAAUCAGGGUUUAUAAACUCAUAUGUAUACAUGAGCCCAAUAGGUAAAAAAAAAAACAACAAAAUUCAGUGAUGUCAACUGGGUAUAAGACAAGAUGGGUUGAUAGGCACUGUAUUAAGUUGAAAUAUAUAUAUUUCAUACAAUGACAUUCAAAUACAAAAUUUAGAAACACAGUGUCAGCCAAUGAAAGCACAGCCAAGGACCCCAGAAUUUGAUCUCCAUGUCACUACAUUUUAUCUCUCAUCAGUAAGAUUGGCUGUGAUAUUGAAAAAAUGAAAGUCGUUUAACAAAAUCUGUAAAUUAUGGUUAUAUUUAUGUUUCCAUGUGCUAACUACAAAUUAGUUUAGGAAACAUUGUAUUACUGUAUUCAGAAAUAGUUAUCUCACACCCAUGAUGUCCUGGACUCUGUUCUAGGUGCUUGGGAUACAUUUGUGGCAAGCUAAAUGAAAAUAUGCAUCUUUGUGGGGUUUCCAUCCAAGCAAGGUAAAUAAGUAAAUAAUAGAAAUGACUUUAAGAAGGACUCUGGCAAAAAGAGAAGAGGGGACUGGUUAAUAGGAAGUAGAAGAUAUCUAUAGUGGUUGCGGUUUUUCAUAGAGCAAGGAGAACAUAUUGAAAAGGUUGGAUUUGAGUCAGUUGUUCAAAGUUGUGAUGGAGUUGCCAUGCAUAUAGUCAGAAAGUACAGUCCAAGCUGAAGGGAAGAUAAGCACACGAUUUUUGUGAGGCCCAUACAAGUGACAUUUAAGGGGACCUGUAGCUGGAGUGAAUGAGGGUUAGAGUAGAAUGCUAUGGGCCUUAUAAACCAUUUUAAAAACUUGAUUUCUCUAAAAAAUAAAUGGUUUUUUUUUUUUCAGAGGAAAUGAUCUAAAUUAUGUCUUAGGACUAUUCCAGCUGUGAUGUUGAGGAUAAACUCUACAUAAACAUUCUCACUGAACUCUUUUGGUAAUAAAGCAUCAAGAUUUUUCUAGGAACUGGAAUGGCUCAGACAGUGAUGGUAGCUGGGGAUCAUAAUUGCUGAGAAAUGUGACAGAUCCACUCGAGUGCCAAUGACCGCACAGAGUUAUCCCCUGAUGAUGUGUGAUUAAAAGCUUUUGUAUUAUUAGGGAAGAAGGAGCAAGAAUGUUCUUAACGCAAGAAUGAGGACAAGGAAAAUGGGUAUACUAAAUCUUUAGACCCACUUGUACGAAGAAAGGCUGUGUAGGGAGGGGGUUGGGAGGUGGCAAUGAUCACUCCAUAAGAGAGCCCACCCUAGGGAAGCACAGUCCUCAGGUAAGAACCAGAUUUUGGUUUCAGAAAGAAAAUAAAAGAAAUAGUAAGAGAGGAGGCUGAAAGUGAAUAUAGAGGAUUUGGGCUGUUGGCAAACCAUCUAUCUCAGAAGGUGCAAUGGAAGUUAUGAGGAACUGAUUAGGGAGAGGAGGAAGAUACAGAAGUGACGGGGUGAGUAUAUAAUGUAUUUUCCAAACAGGGCAUUUCUUUAAUUGUAUGGGAGACCAUUGAUAAUAUUCCAGGAUAACAGGCAUACAUAGGAACCAUUGCUAGCCUAGCUGGACUCAUGGUACAGGUGGCCGUCCUCAUUGCCUUAUGGGGAUCAGAGUGUCAGAGGUGAAGGAUGCCCUGGCAUCUGGGGCUUCUUUAAGUGAUAGUCGCAAAGAGGGUUAAAGGGCCUAAUGAGAUUUGCUGAAUACAAGGCCGAUAAUAGCAGCAGAGUUGGAGUGUUAGCGAGGGAAGUUACACCUUUGAGCCGAAAUCUGAAUUGUUAAUGAAAGCAAGUGCCUGUGCCAGAAGCAUAGUAAGGCCCAAUAACACUGAAACAUCAGUUUGGAGCAGAGAAAAGUUUAUUGCAGGGCUAUGCAAAAAUAGUGGGGAGGGGUAGCUUAUGACCCCCAAACCCUAAACUUCCCAAAGAGCUUCAGCAAAGCGUAUUUAAAGGCAAGGUGAGGGAGCGGGGUCACAGAGUAUUGAUCAGCGAGGGUACAACCUCUGAUUGGUUGAUGUAGAGGUAACAGGGCCCUUAACAUGAAGCCUGGAGGCUAUGUGCUCAGAAUCAUCAAAUAGUUAAUUUCUCCCAUUUGUUGGUGGUUUUUAACAUC